CACCAGGCUGUCUGCAAAGAUAGCAGAACUCAGUAAUCUGGCAUUGGAAGGAAAUAUUCCACUUCAUCCGUUUACUUGCAGACAUAGAAAUAAUGAAAUAGUGUUUAUUGUAGGGGUGUAUACAAGAUGUUCUCUUUGUUAUGCUCACUUUUAAACCCUUUUUCUGCAGGUAUUGUUCCCUUUCAUUGUAAUGCCGUGACCCUGCUUCCCAAGGUGCCAGACAAAAAGCAUAAAAGUUGCAGUGAAUCAGGGAGACGGCUCCCAACCAGUCCCUCUCAAUUUUGGAGACACAUCAGCAGAUGGCAGUAAUGCACAGGCAUGAGACAUGAGCACGGCUAUGUGUGUGUUUCUGCACACUGAAAUGUUAUAUUCAAAAUGUGUAUACGUUCUUGCGUCGCUAUCUUCAUAGCUUUGCAGUUCAUCACCUCAUCCUUACCUACAGCAGCCUACCUGGUGUACACAGCGCUGGUGACUGGAGAGCUAAUUCCCCAUGACUGUGACCUUCACUGAUGGGAAGCAGCAGCUGGACUAUGAGUGUCCAGUAUCUCUGACUGCUUUUUAUAGACCCAUAUCUAUCAACCACAGUGACACAUCUUCUCAAGGCCUUAUAUCGAGAUGCUGGCACGAAGAAGAAAAGUCGACCCACUUAGUGAUUGUCCUCUGGGAGACGGCUGGAAGGUUGUUGAACUGGACCUCGACAGGAAGAUGUCGGCUGCUCUGGUCAAGUGUUUCUUUACUUACAGAGGAUGUGACAGUGUGAUGAAACUGUGUGAGCUGGGGUCACACUCUCUGGACUGUCCACACAAGCCCCCUGGGGACCUGGAUGCAAAGGCGAUGUGUUGCAGUGACAGGAUCAGUCUCCUCUGCAUGGCCUGCAGCAGGAUGCUGUCCACUAUGCAUCAGCGAUCAAGGGUGGCCUUAAAGGAUCCGGACUGAAAUGAUAGUAAUGCACCAAGUUGAAGGGUUUCCCCACCUACAUUUGCCCAGCUACGGUUUACCUACAAAGCUUUAAGGAAACAUUAGAAAACUUUAAUUGUGAAUGUUGAUAAUGAAUUA
rnacentral:lncRNA from 1 species